rnacentral:rRNA from 1 species
AACGAACGCUGGCGGCAUGCCUAACACAUGCAAGUUGAACGAGAUCUUCGGGUCUAGUGGCGCACGGGUGCGUAACGCGUGGGAAUCUGCCCUUUGGUUCGGAAUAACAGUUGGAAACGACUGCUAAUACCGGAUGAUGACGAAAGUCCAAAGAUUUAUCGCCAGAGGAUGAGCCCGCGUAGGAUUAGCUAGUUGGUGUGGUAAAGGCGCACCAAGGCGACGAUCCUUAGCUGGUCUGGGAGGAUGAUCAGCCACACUGGGACUGAGACACGGCCCAGACUCCUACGGGAGGCAGCAGUGGGGAAUAUUGGACAAUGGGCGAAAGCCUGAUCCAGCAAUGCCGCGUGAGUGAUGAAGGCCUUAGGGUUGUAAAGCUCUUUUACCCGGGAUGAUAAUGACAGUACCGGGAGAAUAAGCUCCGGCUAACUCCGUGCCAGCCGCCGCGGUAACAC